GAAAAAAAACAAAUUACAUUCUACAGACAGCUCUCUAUGUUUAUAUAAGUAAAUAAAAACAUUGUAAAAAUAUGUACAUCAAGUAUAUCCCAAUUUAUCGAAUUUACCUACAUCCAAAAAAAUUAAAUGAUGAAAAACAUCAUACACAACCAUGGCCACCACCGUCGCAAGUGCAACCACCGUUGCCGGAGAUAAUAUCACCACCUUGAUGCGGUUUGGUGCUUAGGCAACAACAUAGAAGAGCCACCAGCAACAUGAAUCCCCAUACUGAAGCCAAAGCUUGUACCCAACUCAAGGAAAAGAGAAUAAUGGGAUCAUUUUGGUGAGAUAUGGUGUGGCACAUGCUGUGAGCUUGAAAGAGU